AUUUACUUCGGUGUUGACGUCUUGAAAGCGAGCGUUGGAUGGGUGAGUAACACGUGGGGAACCUGCCCCAUAGUCUGGGAUACCACUUGUAAACAGGUGCUAAUACCGGAUAAGAAAGCAGAUCGCAUGAUCAGCUUUUAAAAGGCGGCGUAAGCUGUCGCUAUGGGAUGGCCCCGCGGUGCAUUACCUAGUUGGAUAGGUAAAGGCUUACCAAGGCGAUGAUGCAUAGCCGAGUUGAGAGACUGAUCUGCCACUUUGGGACUGAGACACGGCCCAAACUCCUACUGGAGGCAGCAGUAGGGAAUCUUCCAUAAUGGACUCAAGUCUGAUGGAGCAGCUUCGCGUGAGUGAAGAAGGUUUUCGGAUCUUAAAGCUCUGUUGUUGGUGAAAAAGGAUAGAGGUAUUAUUUGUCCUUUAUUUGACGGUAUCAACCACAA
rnacentral:rRNA from 1 species